rnacentral:piRNA from 1 species
UACUCAUUAAGGGUAGGGAAUGGAGCCAU